UUACAGUUGCCAUCAGAUAUAUCGGAGCGGCCAAGUCGCUCACAAAUAUCUGAACACGCCUCUAUUGUCAAGGAGUUAAAGUGCGUGUUCGGAUAUUUAUAAGCACCUAGGCCACUCCGAUAUAUCUGACGGCAACUGUACCCGGGUAACUUUUAAUGUUUAGUUCACAGAAGCCGACCUUUUUCUGAAAUAUUUUUGACCCGGGGUUGCCAAAAGCCAAACAGAAUAAAUUGUUGUAUUAAUUUGUACAUGUAUAUGUCUCACUAUUGUUAAUUUAAUGUGAAUAUCGCAAAAUUCAAAACAAUAUAAUAUAGCAGUGAAGUUACCUAACACGCAUAUAUGAGAUCAACAGCCAAUCCUUGUAUUAAGUACAAAUACUUCCAAAUGGUAUUUAAACAUGUCAUAUAUUAUAUAAACGAUUUGGCUUCUAAAACUUCAUUGGUUAAAAUAUAAAGAUCCCUUUUCACCAUGCCUGUCACGUUCUAACAAGUAUGUAAGUGCGAAAGGGACGCGCAUAGUGAUAGUCGAUAAAAAUGGAACCGUGCUGAGCCCGCAGGUUUCUACUCGUACAUAAUUAUUCUAAGCAUAGUAACAGUUUAAAUAGUAAAAUCAUUUUAUAUUGGUACAAAAUUGAUUAAGUUAAGUGCAAAAGGCCGAUUAUAGCUAAUGAGUCUUUUUUUUUUAUUAGCCUGUUAUAGUGUCCCACUGCUGGGCAAAGGCCUCUCCCCUUGACUUCCACAACUUGACUUGUGAAAGUCAAUGAGUCGUUAGUAAUCAAAAAUAUCUGAACACGCCAUUGACAUUUAAAUCGUGUUGAUUCUUAGUCUUGUAUUUUCUCCGAUAUCUUAUACCAUAUGUACAAAAAAAGAAACCAUCAAACAUAGCAAAUAAAAAGCUAUAAGUUUAUUAUACAUUGUAUACCUACCUUAUUCCAUCUCCGUAAGUACUAUAUCGGCCUUCUGCAACUUAACCACUAUAUUACUAGCUAGAACAUAGUUGUAAAAGCAUUUGUCCCACUCUAAAUAACUUUGUAGGAAAGAGAUGAUAACUGCGACUUAUCUAGGCUACUUCAGGUAGGGGGGUAUGGUGAAAACAGUUACUUCUACAUCGCAAAGGUAAAAGUAGGUUACAGGACCCAGAAGAUUGCGUAGAGAUGCCUUUUCAGGGGACCGAUGGGGUAACUUUAGACAAUAUUUUUGACUAUAAUGGAAAAUUACCCUAUCAGGCUUAUUCUAAUUUUAAUUAUAGGAUAUGAAUUCGAUGUGGGUUAGAUAUGGAUUAAAACGGUCAGUGUCAAAAGUGUCAUUUUUUCAAACACAAACGUCACUUUGGACACUGACAGAUCCCAUCCAUAUCGAAUCCAGAUCGAAUUCAUAUCCUAUAAUAAAAGUUAGAAUAGGCCUAAGACUGGUAAAUCUUGAUUCAAAUAUUGUAAAAAGUACACACGUUUAAAUGAUUGGGGAAUCUUUCCUUUGUCUAAUGUUACCCCUCCUGUCUCCAGUUAGCCCACUCGACGGUACAUUAUAAACUGUCUAGAAUUAGACUAAGCUAAGAUGGUUUUGAUAGCACAGACUGUGAAAGUGUUAUUUCAUAAUUUUGACGUUUAACACAUUAAUUGCCAACCAGGCAAACAAGAUAUCCGCACCAGGCCACAACAAUAUCGUCAUAUAAAGCUGUAGUAUCUCGAUCCCGACUAUCGGGUCGUCCGGCCUGCAAACGAAAUCAUAAAAUACCCUAGAGUUGGGUUUUCGGCACUGAAUGUGUUAAAAUAACACUUGCACAGUCUGAGCUAUCAAAAUCGCUACCAACUUAUCUUGGUCUACCUCUAGGCAUCUCUACGCAUAUCUUAUGUGAGAAUAGGGCUCAAUAUAGGAAACCUAUACUCUGUAUCUUUAUGUACUUAAAUAAAAGUAAACAAACAAUUUGUAAAUUUUCGGGUAGUUGUAACAUUUAUUGAUUAACCAACCAACAAAGCCACCUGGAUCAGUCACCGAACGACCUGACUUCAACCUACAUUAUUUCAUCAUGUAAUGUUUUCAUCUACCCUCAACUGGCUUAAGGAGCCAUUUGAGGGUAGAUUUUGUUUACUAUUUUUUAAAGACCUAAAGGUACAGACUGAGCCCGUCGACUAGGCGGCGUGGUAUAACUAGCUUACGAUAAAAUAUCACUUGUCCACCGAACGUCACUGGAAGUACCAUGAGUAUUUUAUUCUAAGGUUAUUUUAUGAACACAUCACUGACUCACUUCACUCAAACAAAUGUCUUUCCGGGGCGCUGUGAUUACUCUGUCUCUUUUAUUUAAUAUAGACGGAGGAAGACAGCUAUAGUACGGUCUUCUACUGGCUUUUAUAGUCCAUUUUUUUGUACAGCUACAUUUUACGUACGGGUAUUCAAUCUUGAUUUUCAAUUUGUUUUUUCGCAUCGUUUUUUUUUAAGUUUUGAGGGGUUACUUGGCUUCAAUUGAACUGUUAGAACAGUUAUGCCAUAUUUUUCCUGUUGCUAUUUCGUUCCAACACUAUACCCGAAGCCAGUUUUCAAUGAACGGACUAUAAAACCUCACAGACAGCGCACUUGACGGUCAACGCUGACGGUAACGCACGGAGGGCUCUAGCCGUCCCUGUCACACCUGCGUGACGCGGCCGUACAGCCGUGUCCCGUCUCAGUCUUGCGCGGCCGACGUGUCGGCGCGCGGCGCGGUGCAGUCUGGUGACGAUGUGUGAGAUCUGAAAAUAAUGGUAGU